rnacentral:rRNA from 1 species
AUUGAACGCUGGCGGCAGGCCUAACACAUGCCAGUCGAGCGGAUGAAGGGAGCUUGCUCCUGGAUUCAGCGGCGGACGGGUGAGUAAUGCCUAGGAAUCUGCCUGGUAGUGGGGGAUAACGUCCGGAAACGGGCGCUAAUACCGCAUACGUCCUGAGGGAGAAAGUGGGGGAUCUUCGGACUUCACGCUAUCAGAUGAGCCUAGGUCGGAUUAGCUAGUUGGUGGGGUAAAGGCCUACCAAGGCGACGAUCCGUAACUGGUCUGAGAGGAUGAUCAGUCACACUGGAACUGAGACACGGUCCAGACUCCUACGGGAGGCAGCAGUGGGGAAUAUUGGACAAUGGGCGAAAGCCUGAUCCAGCCAUGCCGCGUGUGUGAAGAAGGUCUUCGGAUUGUAAAGCACUUUAAGUUGGGAGGAAGGGCAGUAAGUUAAUACCUUGCUGUUUUGACGUUACCAACAGAAUAAGCACCGGCUAACUUCGUG